ACGAACGCUGGCGGCGUGCUUAACACAUGCAAGUCGAACGGAAAGGCCCUGCUUUUGUGGGGUGCUCGAGUGGCGAACGGGUGAGUAACACGUGAGUAACCUGCCCUUGACUUUGGGAUAACUUCAGGAAACUGGGGCUAAUACCGGAUAGGAGCUCCUGCUGCAUGGUGGGGGUUGGAAAGUUUCGGCGGUUGGGGAUGGACUCGCGGCUUAUCAGCUUGUUGGUGGGGUAGUGGCUUACCAAGGCUUUGACGGGUAGCCGGCCUGAGAGGGUGACCGGCGACAAUGCGACUACGGUACGCACCAGAAGGCAACGGUACGCAGCAGGCGAGAACAUUGCGCAAUAGCCGGGCGCGUGCUGCGAAAACGCUGCGUGCGGAAUGCCGGCCUUCUAGUGAUGAACCGAUGUCGAAUGUGAUGAAGCGUGAGUGACGGUAAUGGGUCAAGAAGCAACGGCUAACUACGUG
rnacentral:rRNA from 1 species